ensembl:antisense 6330418K02Rik uncharacterized LOC110293988
CGGAAGGAAGGGGGCGUGGCCUCCGAGGCUUCUUGGCUGAGUCGAGGGCCUGGGCAUUGUGCAUGAAGCCCACCACAUCGUCCAGACUCCAGCACAGGGCAUCUGCCAACAGAACCAGUGACUCAUCAAAGUACUCAGCCACCAUGACCAGGUCAAAGACUGAGUCCAACCAGGCCAGACCCCACUGGAUAAAGGAUGAGGGCCUAAAAUCUGAGGAGACAAGGCUGGCUGGCUGCUUGUAACUAUUAGCAGCUGUGGUAAUAGGAUGGAAGAGAGUUCCAGGGCUAGCACCGGAAGGUACAAUAUGUAGCUGGAGGGAUUUGGGGUCUCUGGGUAGCUGGGGACUCACUUUCAUGGUCUUUGUCUCUGGGGGGGAGGGCAAACCAAAGUCAAACCAUAGUAAGUUACGGGCGUAGUGGUUGCCACGGGCCCCGGGUCUGUAGAAGGCUUGAGGAUUGGACAGGAAGGCGGCCAAAGACGGUGCCUUUCGGAAAGCCGAUGAAACUGAUUUGUAAUAGGAGAAGGCAGAGCGGGCUAGAGCCGCUGGAUCUCGGACAAUGGAAAAGAAGAAGCUAUCAGAAGGCAUGACCUGAAGUACCUGCAGAGGAAAGAAAGAGAGGAAGA